rnacentral:lncRNA from 1 species
UCAUUUAUUGGCAAGGGCUAAUGCUGCAGUUGUUUCCAUCCCGAACGUGCGUCUUCCAUCUCUGGUUUCCUUCCACACCAUUGUACCAUCUGCAUCAUACAUGAGUGAUAUAGUUUGUGUAAUAUGUUAGUAUUUGUUGUAGUUUGAAGACUGCAUUUGGAUUCUCUCUUGCUUAGGAUUUGUUGCCGUUAUAAGACUGCAUAUGGAUUCUCUCUCCAUUUUUUAAAAAUUUAAUAUCUUCAUACGGAUUGUCAUCUGGAAGUUUGUUCUCAAAAUCAGGUUGCAUCCUUGGUGGAUCUUGGACCCUUUCUCGAAAAAACCUGGGAAGGCUCCUCUAACAUAGGCUCUUAUAUUUGGG